CUCCGUGGGACCACGCAAUCACGUGUACGACACCGCACAGAAACAAUCGUUUUAAUUUCAGUAUUGCUUUCCAUCAGUGGAUGUUCAUGCAGUCCAGAGCAGCACCAAGUAGUUUGAUAGAAGAGCAAAAGAUUUAUUUAUUAGAUAUUGUUACGUUGCUUUCCAUCAGUGGAAGUUCACGCAGAGCAGCACCAAGCAGUUUGAUUUCUAUCAAACUCUUCUGAGCGACA